rnacentral:rRNA from 1 species
AGUGAACGCUGGCGGUAGGCCUAACACAUGCAAGUCGAACGGCAGCACAGUAAGAGCUUGCUCUUACGGGUGGCGAGUGGCGGACGAGUGAGGAAUACAUCGGAAUCUACUUUUUCGUGGGGGAUAACGUAGGGAAACUUACGCUAAUACCGCAUACGACCUACGGGUGAAAGCAGGGGAUCUUCGGACCUUGCGCGAUUGAAUGAGCCGAUGUCGGAUUAGCUAGUUGGCGGGGUAAAGGCCCACCAAGGCGACGAUCCGUAGCUGGUCUGAGAGGAUGAUCAGCCAAACUGGAACUGAGACACGGUCCAGACUCCUACGGGAGGCAGCAGUGGGGAAUAUUGGAAAAUGGGCGAAAGCCUGAUCCAGCCAUACCGCGUGGGUGAAGAAGGCCUUCGGGUUGUAAAGCCCUUUUGUUGGGAAAGAAAAGCAGCAGGUUAAUACCCCGCUGUUCUGACGGUACCCAAAGAAUAAGCACCGGCUAACUUCGU